CAUCUUCGCUUAUGGAUCGGUUGCAUCGAGUAUCGAUGAAGAACGCAGCUUGCUGCAUUACUUACCAUUAAUUGCAGACCCUUAACCUGGUGAAAUUUCCCCCGCUUUACACCAACUGGGUCUCCCCUCUUUUCGUAUUGUUCAAGGUUG
rnacentral:rRNA from 1 species